rnacentral:rRNA from 1 species
UACGUAGGGUGCGAGCGUUGUCCGGAAUUACUGGGCGUAAAGAGCUCGUAGGUGGUUUGUCGCGUUGUUCGUGAAAACCGGGGGCUUAACCCUCGGCGUGCGGGCGAUACGGGCAGACUGGAGUACUGCAGGGGAGACUGGAAUUCCUGGUGUAGCGGUGGAAUGCGCAGAUAUCAGGAGGAACACCGGUGGCGAAGGCGGGUCUCUGGGCCGAUACUGACGCGGAGGAGCGAAAGCGUGGGGAGCGAACAGA